rfam:Ipomoea nil DNA, scaffold: scaffold3056, cultivar: Tokyo-kokei standard.
GCCCUUCUAACUCAGUUGGAAGAGCGUAAGUCUCUUAACCUUGUGGUCUUGGGUUCAAGUCCCAGGGUGGGUG